CCCCCAUGCUGAUCUUCUUCUUCCAGCAAAGAACAAACCCAGAAAAGUCCAGCAGCAAAUCCAGCGACCCGAGCCCACUCUCAUUGUGUCGUCUUCUUCCUCUCUCCCUUAUCCUCUCCAUACGGGAAUAGUCUAGGUAUCACAAUCUAAGGCGCUCUUCGUCCUUCACCAAGGAAUCGAACGGCUCAAAUCAAGUUUCCGUUGAGAAUUGGUACAUUUCAGCUGGCCGACCUAUUCGAAUUUGAAUUUUGAAUUUUGAAUUUUAUCCCCUUUCCUCAUCUAGUUCUUACCCUAUAAAUACCCUUUUUCUUCAUUGUUUAAGGUUGGGGGAAAAAAUGAGGCUAGCUUAAGAGAGAAACACACACACAAAAAAAAAAUAAAAUGGAAAGAAUUUAGAGAGGAAAAGAAUCACUAACCUACAACACUCAUAAAAGACAUACAUAUUAAAUAUAUACUUUCUUUCAUUGUUUCGGGCUGCUCGGAAUCCGAAUUCCUCAAAGUUUUUUCCGAAGUUGGCGGUGAAGUCCUCUGUAGCUCGUUGUUCUCGGUGUGCUACCCUGGAAAAGAGCGCACUUGAAGACCCAGAAGAAAUACUUGGAAGAAGCCAAAAUAUAUAGAAGAAGGGUAUAAGGUUUGAAGAAGUGAAUACGACUAUUAAGUUAUAGAAGGUCUGUCAUUGGCGUAAGUCAUCAAGCACGUAUGUCUUCAAGAAUUCUCAACAGACUUUGUUUCUACUCAAACAGAAUUACAAAUUAUCUUAUGGAUUGUACGCCAUUGAUGUUGAAGCUUGAUUAUUCUCCAAUUGCACUUAGAAUUCUUUGGAGCUUAGUAUAAUAAAUGGGCGAGGACUUCCAAUACGUUGGAGCUCAAUAUAAUAAAUAGGUGAGGCCUUUCAACAGAGGUACUGCUUGCUUUAUCUAUAUGUUGAUAUCUCACAUUGAGAGGUAACAAGUGAACUCUUAACACUUAUCUUAAUAUGUUCUCUUUGUUGAAAUUCCUAACCCAAUUUCUCAUGUCUUUAUGAUAUUCUUUAAUUUCUGCAGGAAAUUUUGAAGGUGAAAACCAAAACAAAGCUUGAAGCUCUAUAACUUUCAAACCAACGAGACACUAGAAAAACCUCUGAUGGAUGAAAUUGGUCAAAAGAAGAUGAGUUGGUGGGUAUAAGUGAUCAAAGUAGUAGUUCAAUUCAUGGAUUACCUGAGUUUGAGAUUGUAGUGUUAAAUAAUUUUCGGAGGCAAAAGGUUGCAAUCGUGCUGCUGAAAUUAUGUGAGGAGAUGAUCAAAAAACCAGACUACAAAUUUCUUGUGUUGAAAAUCCUCAAGGCAAGUUGACUUGCGAGAAGUUUGUUCUUCAAAAUGGGCUACUAUCCAGUAACAGACAAAGAGGAGAUGAUACUUAUGAUCAAAGAUACUUCACUCGUAUAAUGUGUUACCUACCAUGGAUAGUCCCAAGGCCUAAGACUGAUUUUUUCUAUAAUGUGUUACCUACAUACUUUUUCUUUUCUAGUACAAUGGAUAGAGACCUAAGCCUUCUGAAGAUUGACUCUAACUAAGUAUAUAACAUUCGAUCCGUAAACAAAAUAUAGUCUAUUGUUAAACAAUAGAAAAAAAAUAUAUUUAACAAGUGAUAUCAGAGUCUAGUGAAAAAAGAAAGGUAGCAACUCAAAGGAACGGAGAUCCUACAAGCUACUUUCGAAGGCUACAAGUUGCAAGACACUUAUCAAUUGCUCAAGAACUCUCAAUAGCAUUGAGAAACUCAACGAAAAUCACUACGAACCAUGGAGCACGGGAAUGCAAUAUUACUUUCUUGGGAAGGAAUUAUGGGAUAUCAUCAGUGGAUCAGAUACCACACCACCAACAGAUGUGAAGCAGCAAAAAGGUGGAAGGUCAAAGCUGGAAAGACCAUGUUUGUUCUUACUGUAACAAUCGAGGAUGAGUUUCUACAACAAAUUAAGAAUGUCAAGAUACCAAAGAAGCUUGGGACACCUUGGCAACAACUUUUACAAAGAAGAAUGAUGUGAGAUUACAAAGGCUUGAAAAUGAGCUUUUAUCAAUCUUUCAACAGAAUAUGACGAUCAGUCAAUACUUCUCAAAGGUCGGAGUACAAAAGCAUAAUUAUGGCCACACUGGGGUGGGACACAGAAUCACUUUUUAGAGUUGGAAAAUUUGUUGAUAAAUGAAGAAGAUUUGGAGAAGCCAUUAUCAAGCCUUACAAUAAAAAAUGAAGAUAAAGCGCUCUUCACCAAAAGAAAAGAAUACUAAAAAAGAGAAGCGAAGAGAAGCUCGGGGGAGACCAAAAGAAUCAACACAAAUAAAUCAACGACAAAACAAGCAGGCAAAAUGCUUUAAUAACCGGAAAAUGGAGAAGUGCUACAAUUGUGUAAAGAAAGGACAUUAUGCCUGAGACUGCUGGCACAAGAAAGUCAAAGGUAAUGUAGCUACUUCUACUCAAAGCAAGAAAGAUGAAGAAGAAGCUUGGGAUUGCGAGACCCCUUAUACUGUUGAAGAAACUAAUCAACAAGAGGAGUUUGUUACUUGUCACUUGUCACUUGUCACUCUAACAAAGAAGAGGAAAUUGCACUUGCAAAUGUAAGUGAGAAAUUGAUUGAUUAUGAACAUGAUUGGAUUGCUGAUUCAAGAUGUUCCAAUCACAUGACCAGUGAUGAGAAAAAGUUCAUUAACAUGAACAAAUAUAAAGGUGGUCGAGUAGUGGUGAAUGCGAAUAAUCCAAAAAGGCCAAUAACUUAUAUUGGCAAGACGGUGUGCGUGCGUCAUUUACCUAAAACAAGUGAAAAUUCAAGAUGUCUACCAUGUUCCAGGUAUGAAGAAAAACUUAUUAUCUGUAUCACAACUAUUUCAGGUAACUAAGUCUUGUUUGAGCCAACUAACGUAAAAGUAUAUCGAAAACUUUUAAAAGUAAGCACCAAUUGAAAAGGAGAAGAUUAGAAUCAUAAGUCAUUGUUGACACCCAAUUUUGACCGACCUUUAACCAUUUUUAGGAUUAUAUUCGA